CUGCAGGUAGCAAUGGGGAGCACAGAGAACAGCAAACUCACCCUCUGAGCUUAAGGUACAUAGAGUGUGAGAGAAUAGACCGCCUACUAUUGAGAAAGUUGCAGUGGCAAGUCUGCAAGGGCAGAGUUAAUGCCCCAAUAGAGGGACGCUCCAGAAAUAGCUUCAGGACACAGGAGUGGCAGUGACUGAGUUUGGAAGAUGGGGAAGAGAAUGCCUGAUGGAAUUACAGGCAAGGAAGAACUGAUUAUCCUGGUACGAUGGAGUGGAAGAAAAUUCUCCAAGUGGCUUCCUGUUUGGGGAGGGCCUCCCUGGAAUAUCUCUGCAGAGGGUGGCUCGUGGAUAGAGAGUGCAGGGGAACUCGGUUUCAGUGAGCUGGAUUUUCAGUUUCUUACAACCUUGCUCUUUGGGUACAUCCACCAAGUCCAACUUGUGUUUUGGCUCAUUUCCUUCCAGCUAAAGGGCGCUUUCAUCUUCUGGCAAGGGGCCUGGGUUGACCUGAGGUAAAAAUCUUGCUACCUUUGUUUCCUCCAGGGGAGAGGGAUUUUUUUUUGGUUUAGCAUUUUGUAUAGUUUUGCCCAUUUAUUUUAUUUGCCUUGCUCUUAAUCAUAAGGAAUAUCUGUUUCUGAUAUAAAUGUCUAACUUUUAUGCCCCCUGCAGUGGACUGUAUUUUCCAAAAAUGGCCACAACCAUCUCUCUCUUUCCCCAUGAAGAGGUGGAAUCCAUUUCUUUCCCUCCCCCUUGAAUCCAGGCAGGCGCUGUGACUGUUCUGACAGAUAGAGGACAGCAGAAGUGGUGGCGGGCUUAGCCCUUCACGGGCUCUUUCAGCCCGCAGCGGGGUGAGGCCAUUUGGAGAAACACAGAGGCACCAGGGAUGAGGUGAAGGCACCCAGCCCCCUUAUCUAAAUAAAGCUGCAGGAGAGAGACCAGGGUGAAAAAACCACCCAGCGGAGUUCAAUCAACCCACAGAUUCCCUGAGAGAUAAUGAUAAACAGCUGUGUGAGCCUCUGACUUUCAGCUUGUUCACAGCCAGAGAUGCUCAGGAUAUCAUCUUGGUUGUUAACUCUGCUGCUGCUGCUGCUGCUACUGCUAAGUCGCUUCAGCCGUGUCCAACUCUGUGCGACCCCAUAGACGGCAGCCCACCAGGCUCCCCCGUCCAUGGGAUUCUCCAGGCAAGAACACUGGAAUGGGUUGCCAUUUCCUUCUCCAAAGCAUGAAAGUGAAAAGUAAAAGUGAAGUCGCUCAGUUGUGUCCAACUCCUAGCGACCACAUGUACUGCAGCCUACCAGGGAUUUUCCAGGCAAGAGUACUGGAGUGGGUUGCCAUUGCCUUCUCAGUGUUAACUCUAGCAAAACCUAAAAAAAAAAAAAAAAAGAAAAAAAGAAAACACCUGUUCUUCCACACCAUUUCUUUUCACACAGUAAUGGCAAAUGGCAACAUCCAGCAGUCAGCUUUUGUAUGAAAGACCAAACCUGGUGAAAAGUGGUUUAGGGCUGUCAAAGUAAAAUGUGUGAAAAUGCAAGCUAUAAAACCAAUAUUUAAAGUCUUUCCUCUGUAUGCUUCAUCCAGUUUGAUUGCCACGCCUGGGUGUAAAUGAAAACCACGAGCAGAACCCUGAAAAAUACUUAUGCCUUAACCAAAAUCUUAAAAAACUUGUUGAUAUCAAAACUGCUGCACUGACUGAAACCAUAUGAGGCACUACUACAUACUUAUCCUGCUGCUGCGUCGCUUCAGUCGUGUCCGACUCUGUUCGACCCCAUAGACGGAAGCCCACCAGGCUCCCCCGUCCCUGGGACUCUCCAGGCAAGAACACUGGAGUGGGUUGCCAUUUCCUUCUCCAAUGCACGAAGUGAAAAGUGAAAGUGAAGUCGCUCAGUCGUGUCCGACCCUCAGUGACCCCAUGAACUGCAGCCUACCUGUCUCCUCCAUCCAUGGGAUUUUCCAGGCAAGAGUACUGGAGUGGGGUGCCAUCGCCUUCUCCCAUACUUAUCCUAGUAUGGCUAAAAUUAAAAAGAGUGAUUAUAGUAAGUGUUGGCAAGGGUGUGGAGGAAGUGGAACUCUCUGAUACUGCUUGCAGGAAUGGAAA
ensembl:lncRNA